rnacentral:lncRNA from 1 species
AUUUAUGGUCGCAACAAACAAUUUAUAGUGGACUUGAGAUCUUUGUCUUGUUUGGAUUAAUAACAUAAAACUAUCACUAUUUAUGAGAAAUGCAAGCCUUACGAGAAUCCACAUUGGUCAGGUUACAAUGCAAUAAAUUGAACUUGUUAAUAUGAAGCUUUAUAUCUCUGUUACUAAUAUCUCAUUUGUACUUCAUCGGCGAGUUACGCUUGUUAUGAAAUCUUGCACUUUAUAAUUUUAAUGUCCUUUUG